CGUUUAAGCCUUAGGACCAAACCUAAUCCAAGCUACAAAAUGGGAAAGUUCACCAAGCUGAAGAACAAAGGCGCUCAUAUGAAAAAGUCAGUAUCACGUUCCAAUAUUCAGCAUCGCGUUCUUCAUUCUCCUUCGCAUUCUGGAUUCAAGUUAUGAAACUCCAAAUCAAAGAACAUACUCCUGAGUUUUCCAAAUCGUUGAAGGUUGCAACGAAUACGUGAAUCUGAAUUGAAGCUCAGAUCUCAAAUUCCGAACACGCCGUGAAGAAUCCGCCAAAACUCAAACACGCCAUCACCAACUCAAAACGAAAUGCAAGUAGGAGAUAAAUUCAAUAAGGUUAAAGUGUACCGAAGCAGCGUUCAAGCACAGCGGCUUCUCGGUGCUCCACGAGGUAAUCAUUCGUCUUCGAUUCCUUCUUCUUGAAUCUUCUUCGAUCUCCCUUUGAUGUGACGUGAUUCGUGUGUUUCUGGUGCCUGUAUGAAGAGGAUUCUGCGUGUGAAUGUAUGAAUCCAAGAAGACUGAAGAUUCAAUUUGCUUGUAUGAAUGAAAAGUGAGAGUGAAGAACGAAUCAGAACUCUCAGAGCUUUUGGAAGAGUUUGAAAUGAAAUCUGAAUAAUGAAUCCCCUCCCAAAAUUACAGUGAAGUAGGUCAUGGAACUAGUGAUUCAUACAUUGUUGAAUGAUGAAGUCCACGGAUAUACAUUAUGUUGAAAGGGGCAGCAAUAGUAGAAGGCAAAAAAAUCCCCAAGCUUAGUGGUAAGGUAUUCAUGUGCAAAGAGAAAGUGGCAUGGCAUGGAAGAAAAUUGGCAUGAAGCUUAAAAGCACAUGAUCAUGAGGAUGAUGGAUGAAGAAGUUAGAGUUAGGUCUUAAGUCUUAAAUGGUUGACUUUGGUCAAAGUUGACCAAAAAGUCAAUUGUUAGCCAAAGUCAACCUUUGUUCAAAGAAGCAUUUUUUUUAUAAUUUUCUUUGUAUGUGUUUGUAAACGGUUUUGUAUGAAUGAAUGGACAAAUUUGAAUGAAAAUGAUGCUUUAAAUUAA